AGUGAACGCUGGCGGUAGGCCUAACACAUGCAAGUCGAACGGCAGCACAGUAAGAGCCUGCUCUUACGGGUGGCGAGUGGCGGACGGGUGAGGAAUACAUCGGAAUCUACUUUUUCGUGGGGGAUAACGUAGGGAAACUUACGCUAAUACCGCAUACGACCUACGGGUGAAAGCAGGGGAUCUUCGGACCUUGCGCGAUUGAAUGAGCCGAUGUCGGAUUAGCUAGUUGGCGGGGUAAAGGCCCACCAAGGCGACGAUCCGUAGCUGGUCUGAGAGGAUGAUCAGCCACACUGGAACUGAGACGCGGUCCAGACUCCUACGGGAGGCAGCAGUGGGGAAUAUUGGACAAUGGGCGCAAGCCUGAUCCAGCCAUACCGCGUGGGUGAAGAAGGCCUUCGGGUUGUAAAGCCCUUUUGUUGGGAAAGAAAAGCAGCAGGUUAAUACCCCGCUGUUCUGACGGUACCCGAAGAAUAAGCACCGGCUAACUUCGUG
rnacentral:rRNA from 1 species